GAUUCAAUAGCUUAACUUUUAAAGUAAUAGUUUGAAGCACUAUAGAUAUCAUUAGAUUUGGAUCA
rnacentral:tRNA from 1 species